GACAGGGUGGCUGAAUAAUAGGCUAUAAAUUGUAAAUUUAUGAAUGGUUAAACCUCCUGUUA
rnacentral:tRNA from 1 species